AUUGAACGCUGGCGGCAUGCCUUACACAUGCAAGUCGAACGGCAGCACGGGAGCAAUCCUGGUGGCGAGUGGCGAACGGGUGAGUAAAGUAUCGGAACGUGCCCAGUCGUGGGGGAUAACGUAGCGAAAGUUACGCUAAUACCGCAUACGAUCUAUGGAUGAAAGCGGGGGAUCGCAAGACCUCGCGCGAUUGGAGCGGCCGAUAUCAGAUUAGGUAGUUGGUGGGGUAAAGGCUCACCAAGCCGACGAUCUGUAGCUGGUCUGAGAGGACGACCAGCCACACUGGGACUGAGACACGGCCCAGACUCCUACGGGAGGCAGCAGUGGGGAAUUUUGGACAAUGGGCGCAAGCCUGAUCCAGCCAUGCCGCGUGCAGGAUAAAGGCCUUCGGGUUGUAAACUGCUUUUGUACGGAACGAAAAGGUUUGACUUAAUACGUUGGACUCAUGACGGUACCGUAAGAAUAAGCACCGGCUAACUACGUGCCAGCAGCCGCAGUAA
rnacentral:rRNA from 1 species